GACGAACGCUGGCGGCGUGCCUAAUACAUGCAAGUAGAACGCACAGUUUAUACCGUAGCUUGCUACACCAUAGACUGUGAGUUGCGAACGGGUGAGUAACGCGUAGGUAACCUGCCUGGUAGCGGGGGAUAACUAUUGGAAACGAUAGCUAAUACCGCAUAAUAUUAAUUAUUGCAUGAUAAUUAAUUGAAAGGUGCAAUUGCACCACUACCAGAUAGACCUGCGUUGUAUUAGCUAGUAGGUGAGGUAACGGCUCACCUAGGCGACGAUACAUAGCCGACCUGAGAGGGUGAUCGGCCACACUGGGACUGAGACACGGCCCAGACUCCUACGGGAGGCAGCAGUAGGGAAUCUUCGGCAAUGGACGAAAGUCUGACCGAGCAACGCCGCGGGAGUGAAGAAGGGUUUCGGAUCGUAAAGCUCUGUUGUAAGAGAAGAACGGGUGUGAGAGUGGAAAGUUCACACUGUGACGGUAUCUUACCAGAAAGGGACGGCUAACUACGUG
rnacentral:rRNA from 1 species